rnacentral:rRNA from 1 species
CCUACGGGAGGCAGCAGUGGGGAAUAUUGCACAAUGGGGGAAACCCUGAUGCAGCGACGCCGCGUGAGCGAUGAAGUAUUUCGGUAUGUACAGCUCUAUCAGCAGGGAAGAAAAUGACGGUACCUGACUCAGAAGCCCCGGCUAACUACGUGCCAGCAGCCGCGGUAAUACGUAGGGGGCAAGCGUUCUCCGGAUUUACUGGGUGUAAAGGGAGCGUAGACGGUCCGGCAAGCCAGAUGUGAAAGCCCGGGGCUCAACCCCGGGACUGCAUUUGGAACUGUAAGGCUAGAGUGUCGGAGAGGCAAGCGGAAUUCCUAGUGUAGCGGUGAAAUGCGUAGAUAUUAGGAGGAACACCAGUGGCGAAGGCGGCCUACUGGACGAUGACUGACGUUGAGGCUCGAAAGCGUGGGGAGCAAACAGGAUUAGAUACCCUGGUAGUC